rnacentral:piRNA from 2 species
AUCGGGAUGCAGAUGCCUGAAACUCUGCAGU